AUGGCUUCCAAACUCCUGCACAUGGUCAUCCUCCGGCCGCUCCUCUUGGCCCAGAAGUUUGGCCUCCAGCAUCUCUCCAAUGGCCAUUUCUUGCGGGAGAACACCAAGGCCAACACCGAAGUUACUGACAUGGCAAAACAAUAAACAGAGAACAGUCUUUCGGUUCCAGACCAUGUGAUCACACACCUAAUGGUGUCAGAGUUGGAGAACAGGUAUGCCCAGCACUGGCUCCCAGAUGGUUUUCUGAGGACUUUAGGACAAACCAAUGCCCUGAUUUGAAGACAAAAUAUAUGAAGUGGAUUUAGUGAUCUGUUUGAAGAUUCCAUUCGAAACACUUAAAGAUUGUCUCAGCCGACGUUGGAUUCACCCUCCUUGCAGCAGGGUAUAUAACCUGGGCUUCAAUCCACCUGGUGUACAUGGGAUUGAUGACAUCUCUGGAGAACCAUUAGUCCAGCAGGAAGAUGAUAAAUCGAAGCAGUUGCUGCCAGGAUAAGACAGUACAAGGUUGUGGCAAAGCCAGUCAUUUAAUUAUGCAAGAGCCCAGGCUUGCUCCACCAUUUUUCUGGGAUGGAGACUGAUAAAAUCUGGCCCUAAGUCUACAUAUUUUUCUUAACAAGAUCACACCUAUUCAGUCCAAAGAAGAAUC
rnacentral:lncRNA from 1 species